rnacentral:rRNA from 1 species
UAGGGAAUCUUCGGCAAUGGGGGCAACCCUGACCGAGCAACGCCGCGUGAGUGAAGAAGGUUUUCGGAUCGUAAAGCUCUGUUGUAAGAGAAGAACGUGUGUGAGAGUGGAAAGUUCACACAGUGACGGUAACUUACCAGAAAGGGACGGCUAACUACGUGCCGG